GUGGGAAUAUUGGACAAUGGGGGGAACCCUGAUCCAGCCAUGCCGCGUGUGUGAAGAAGGCCUUUUGGUUGUAAAGCACUUUAAGCGAGGAGGAGGCUACCGAGAUUAAUACUCUUGGAUAGUGGACGUUACUCGCAGAAUAAGCACCGGCUAACUCUGUGCCAGCAGCCGCGGUAAUACAGAGGGUGCAAGCGUUAAUCGGAUUUACUGGGCGUAAAGCGCGCGUAGGUGGCCAAUUAAGUCAAAUGUGAAAUCCCCGAGCUUAACUUGGGAAUUGCAUUCGAUACUGGUUGGCUAGAGUAUGGGAGAGGAUGGUAGAAUUCCAGGUGUAGCGGUGAAAUGCGUAGAGAUCUGGAGGAAUACCGAUGGCGAAGGCAGCCAUCUGACCUAAUACUGACACUGAGGUGCGAAAGCAUGGGGAGCAAACAGGAUUAGAAACCCCUGUAGUCC
rnacentral:rRNA from 1 species